rnacentral:rRNA from 1 species
AUGCGUACAGAGGUCAUCAAGGCAGACUCCAUUGAUGUGGCUGUCGAAAGGAUACUUCGUGAACUUGGGUCGGACACUAGAAGAAGCAACAACAGAGGGAAUGCCAUCUACUUUGAUGGCUGGGAUGGCCUUGGGGCAUCUGCCGUCCUGCAAGCCAUAGCCAAACGCCUCACACCAUCAAAUGAGGCAUUGGCUAGGCCUGCUGGGCUGGAGUUUCAGAGAAUCAUCCACAUCGAUUGCUCAAAGUGGGAGAACAGAAGAGCAGUGCAGAGGAAAAUCGCGCAGCAGCUGGAGCUUCCCAGCUGGGUGAUGGACAUGUUUGACGACGAAGAUGAGGAAGAUGAUUUCAAUGGUUUAGACCAAGGCUCCCGCGGUGAGAUAGAACAAGUUAACGCAGAGAUCAAUCAAGCUAUACAGAUUUCCAGGUUCCUGGUGAUCCUGCACAAUGGAGGCAAUGAAGAGAUUGAUAUAUCACAUUUUGGUCUUUAUCUAUAUGGGUAUGCCAAUAGCAAGAUGUUGUGGACUUUCCGAGGGAGGUUUCGACUUGACCCCAAGGUGAUAGACAAUGUGAAGAAGAGCACAACAACACAUGUUAUUAUUUCAGCUUCCAGUGGUGGGCGAGAUCCGCAAAACCUUUGGUCUUAUCUAGUGCACCAUGAGGCUGCACAAGUUUCCCGCAAUAAGGAUGGUCAUUGCAUCAUUGAUCCGGCAAUUGCUGCUGAGUGUGCCAAAUAUAUGCUGAAACGAUGCUGCAUUGGCCCUCACAUCGUUGACUACGACUGGGUCGUCCACACCAGUAACUACUGGAUAUGCGAUGGGAUCAUCACACUGGCAGACAUUGAGAGAGCUUGGCAAGUUGGAGAUGUUCUGCAGCGUGAGCUGCGUUUGUUGGGCACUGAAAACCGGCAUAAUAUUGGUGAUUUAACAAUAAUGCCUUCCUCUCACCUGUCAAGGUCUACCGAGCAUAUUCCGUACUGGAUUUCAAAAGCAACUUGCCGGUUUGUGUUCAGCCCCUCUGGAGUUAUGCCCGAUGACACGUUUCAGCACUCACACCGGCUCGGCGUGCUCAAGCUCUCAAGGUGUACCUUCAGCUUCUCAUUGCCUCCAUUCCUAUGUUGCCACAGCCUGAGAUUCCUGUGGCUUGAUCACUGCCAAGACAUCCAAACAAGAACACACAACAUAGAUGCAGAAAAGGAGGAGUUGGACCACAACACCACAGUGUUGUGGGAAUGCUUCCAAAGCUUGUGGGUGCUUGACCUGCGCCACACGGAUUGUUAUAAGAUCUUGUCAGCGAGGGUGAUGGAUCUCAUGAUCCAGCUGAGGGAGCUAAACGUGAUGGGAGCCAGGAACUGGGACAUGAGCCAUCUACAGGGACGGCUGCGUAACAUUCGCAAGCUCCGAGUAACAAAGUCAACCUGCUACUUCAACAACAAUGUGUUAUCAGAUAUGGGGAACAUGGAGCUUCUUGAUUUUUCUGGAAAUAUCAUCAGACAAGGCAUGACAAUCUUAUCUGGGACAGAAAGCAACAAUAGCCUCAGAACUGUGAUUAUUGGUGGAUGUGAUGGGUUAAAAAUUAUCUCUUUUAGGGGAUGCAAAGAAUUGAAGAACCUGUUCUUGAAAGGAUCAUUGGGGAAUAUCAAUGAGCUGGACCUCUCGGGCACAAGAGUAAAAACGCUCGACUUUGGAGGAGUGGAAACCAGUUCAAUCCCCAAGAAGCUUAUCUUGCUAGGCUGCGAGAAGCUCCGAGCAAUAUUGUGGCCUCAGAAGGUAGUAAUUGAAGGAUGGUUUGGUGUGCUGCUGAGUAUCGACACCAUGUCGACAUCAACAUCAGCUGACGGAUGGGGAGCACCACUUGCACAUCCACAUGUCGAUCCAUCCAUCCAACGACAGAAAGAAGAAAUAUUUAAGGCUCAAUGGCGGAUUUCUAUCAUGGAUACAAGGUUUCUUAGGUCGCUUUCUCCUUUAAGAUGGUAUUUAGGAGGCUCAUCCAUACAUAUUGAUGUCUGUCAUGCAGUUACCGUCGGUGGUAGCAACAUCCAAGGAACAAGCAGUGAUGAACUAGUGCAAGUUCAACCGCAUACAAGUACCUUAAUGGACUCAAAGUACAAAGAUAUACUGAAGGGCGGCCCAGUUCCAACAGUGGUGAUGCGGGAGUGCCCCAAGAUAUUUGUAAGGCAAUGGACCCAAGUGGCUGCAUGUAUCAUAAAUGUGAUCAUGCACGGGCAGAGCAACAAACUCUUGGAGGAUAACCCGUCCAUCACCAGUAUCCCUGCACGGGCAGAUACUUGUGCUUUAUUAUUGCCUCAUUUUCUAUGUGAAGCGGCUACAUCACUGCACGUGUACGAUAACCCAGCCAUCACCAGUAUCCCUGCACCACCCCAAGGAUCGGGAUGGAGAAGUAUAAGAUGGUGUCGAAUCGAGAGGUGCCCCAAGUUACACACGGUCUUCACUACUCCUGAUGACAGUAAUGUGAAGAGCUUUUUCUGGCUGGAGACAUUCUGGGCCUCCCAGCUCCUCUCUGCAUGCUACAUCUGGGACAGGCCAACCCAAAGCUACUUUUAUAACCUGAACCUAUUGCAUCUGGACCAUUGCCCCAGGCUCGUACAUGUUCUCCCCUUCUUCAAAUGGGAGGGAGACACCUUGGGUGCACUGGAAACCCUCGAGAUAGUGUCAUGCGGUGAUCUCAGGGAGGUCUUCCCUUUGGACCCUCAGCUUCAAGAGCAGGAUAAAAUUCUAGAAUUUCCAAAGCUGAGGCACAUCCACCUGCACGAGCUCCCCAUGCUGCAGCACAUCAGUGGGUGCAGGAUGUGGGCACCUAAACUCGAGACCAUCAAGAUCAGGGGCUGUUGCAGCCUCAAGCGUCUGCCAUUAAUCGGACGCAACACCAUGCCGCCCAAGGUGGAUUGUGAGAAGGAAUGGUGGUACAACCUGGAGUGGGAUGGGUUGGAGAAGUACCACCAUCCUUCCCUCUACGAGCCGAGCCACUCGUUGUACUAG